rnacentral:rRNA from 1 species
AUUGAACGCUGGCGGCAUGCUUUACACAUGCAAGUCGAACGGCAGCACGGGCUUCGGCCUGGUGGCGAGUGGCGAACGGGUGAGUAAUGCAUCGGAACGUGCCCAUUUGUGGGGGGAUAACUACGCGAAAGCGUGGCUAAUACCGCAUACGCCCUGAGGGGGAAAGCGGGGGAUUCUUCGGAACCUCGCGCAAUUGGAGCGGCCGAUGUCAGAUUAGCUUGUUGGUGAGGUAAAGGCUCACCAAGGCGACGAUCUGUAGCGGGUCUGAGAGGAUGGCCAGCCACACUGGAACUGAGACACGGUCCAGACUCCUACGGGAGGCAGCAGUGGGGAAUAUUGGACAAUGGGGGCAACCCUGAUCCAGCCAUGCCGCGUGUGUG